rnacentral:rRNA from 1 species
UAGAUACCCUGGUAGUCCACGCCGUAAACGAUGAUUACUAGUUGUUUGCGAUAUACCGUAAGUGACUAAGCGAAAGCGAUAAGUAAUCCACCUGGGGAGUACGCCGGCAACGGUGAAACUCAAAGGAAUUGACGGGGGCCCGCACAAGCGGAGGAACAUGUGGUUUAAUUCGAUGAUACGCGAGGAACCUUACCCGGGCUUGAAAUGUACCUGACCGUCCUUGAAAAGGGACUUCUAGCAAUAGCAGGUA